UACGUAGGGGGCAAGCGUUGUCCGGAAUUAUUGGGCGUAAAGAGCGCGUAGGCGGUCCGAUAAGUCGGCUGUGAAAGUCAAGGGCUCAACCCUUGGAAGCCGGCCGAUACUGUCGGACUAGAGUCCGGAAGAGGCAAGUGGAAUUCCCGGUGUAGCGGUGAAAUGCGCAGAUAUCGGGAGGAACACCAAUGGCGAAGGCAGCUUGCUGGGACGGUACUGACGCUGAGACGCGAAAGCGUGGGGAGCGAACAGG
rnacentral:rRNA from 1 species